GGAUGGAAGGAAGGAGGCUUGGGCGGAUGAGAAGCUUCACCUUAAGCCCAAGGACGCAGGAGAGAAUAGUUUGGUUCAGGUAGAGUUGUAGCUGGCAAGGUCAGAAGUGCAGGUGUCCAGGGAGAGUCAGCAGCCAGGGACAGUGAAUGGAGUCACUGCCGGGCACACUUAUGCUAAGCACUAUGCUCAGCUCUUGGCUCUUUACAGCGGUGUCAUCUAGUUUAUCCUUCCCCAAACCAACAAACAACAAAAACCCACGAGCUACGGCGAGUGCAGUGCAGUGGUUAGAGGGCCAGGUCUUGUCUUGAAAACGGCUGUCAAUUUCUUAAAGAUUAAAUAUGUAUUUGCUGUAUGAGCUUGAAGUUUCAUUUCUAGACAUUUAUCCGAGGGAAAGGAAAAUAUAGGUCUGCAAAUCUUGUUCCAAGAAAACCCCACAAAAAACAAAAACAAAACAAAACCAUUCAUAGCAACUGUAUCCAUAUUAGCCAAAUCUGGCACUAACAAACGUCUAGUAAUAAGGAAAUGGAUAAACAAGUCGUGGCGUGUUGAUACAAUAGACUAUUACUCAGCAAGGGAGCAAAGUGAUAUUUGAUCAACAUGGCUACGUUUCAGUAUUAUGCUACUAAGCAAGCCAGGCACAAGAAUGCUGACAUUUGAUAUCACUUCACGUUUAUAAAGUAUUAAAACAAAGGAAUCUCUGUCUGUGGAAAUCAGGGCAGCAGUGGCUUUUAGAAUCAGAUCAGGGUUGACUAUGAAAGAAACAGAGUGAACUUUAGGCACGGACAAAAAUAUUCUGAAUAUUUUCCAGGCCUUGUAGCACAGGACCGUAAUUCUCACACUAGGGAGGCAGAGGCAGGAGGGCCUCCGUGAAUUGGAGUUCCAGGCCAGCUGGGGCUACACGGUGAGACCUCCUCACACCCCUUAAAAAAACCCCAAACCAAUCCAAUAAACAAACAAAACACUUGAAAACUGGGGAUUUAGCUCAGUGGUAGAGCGCUUGCCUAGGAAGCGCAAGGCCCUGGGUUCGGUCCCCAGCUCCUGAAAACAAAACAAAACAAAACACAUGUGAAAACUGAAACAGCGCAGAGAACGCAUGCUCGUGUCAUUGUACACUCCACAUUGCCGAGUGAUUUUCACAGAACAUGUAUUUUCUUCAUUUUUGCACAUCUUUUUGGGUUCAUAGUCAACUUUUGUUUGUUUUCACAUAUAAUACUGGCAUGAAUGUUGGUGAUUCAAAUUUUUAAUAAUUUUUUAUGUGUAUGGAUGCACACAUGUUUACCAUAUGCAGCCUGUGCCAUAGUCACCAGGAGCAGGCAUCAGAUCCCCAGGAACUAGUGUGAGCUGUCAGGUGGAUGCUGGGAAUUGAACCUGGGUCCUCUCUUCAAGAGCAGCCAGUGCUUUUAAUCACUGAGCCAUCUCCUCUGGUCCCAACUAGACUUAAGACUAAACCGAAACAACAAACGUUUUGAAAACUUCACUGUCAAAGACGUGGUGACUCAUUUCUCAGCUUUUGUGCUGUUCACAGGUAGGAGCCGCACGGUCAGCAUUUUUCUCGGCUGCUUCUUAAAUAUAAACAGCAGACAGUCGGUCAGACCCCCCAGUGACACACCUUCUGACGUCCAUAUUGGAGUUAAGUACCUUACAGCUUGCUGUGUGACAGACAUUAUUAAACAUGGAGCUGGGAAGAACUGCCCAGCGGCAGAACCAUCCAGAACUGCUACUCUGGGCAAGCGGCUGCUGCAUGUGUCCGAGACUGCUCUGGUUUAACACCCUAGUCCUGAGCAUUAGGGACAGUUUGCCAUCAUGUGGCUGGAUCAGGGACUAUUGGAGAAAUAAUUAGAAUAUGGGGAAACCAUAAGACUUGAAAUCAGUUAAAUUAAUAAAAUCCCUCGAAUAUCUGUUUACACGGGGAGCCCAGGAAAGCAAAUGAAAAGGGCCGUGAGAGUGGUGGGCUCUGCAUAAUGCCCUGUGAUUAAAUUAAUCUUCCAAAUGAUAAAAUUAGCUCUCUUAGGCAAGCAGUGGUGGCACAUGCCUUUAAUCCCAACACUUAGGAGGUGGGUCUCUGAGUUCAAGGCCAGCCUGGUCUACAAAGCAAGUUUCAGAACAGCCAGGGGUACACAGAGGAACUCUGUUUUGAAAAACAAAACCAGGGCUGGAGAGAUGGCUCAGUCGUUAAGAGCACUGACUGCUCUUCCAGAGGUCCUGAGUUCAAAUCCCAGCAACCACAUGAUGGCUCACAACCAUCUGUAAUGAGAUCUAAUGUCCUCUUCUUGUGUGUCUGAAGACAGCUACAGUGUACUGUAUAAUAAAUAAUAAAUAAAUCUUUAAAAAAAAAACAAAACCAAAUGAAAUGAACAAAAAUUAGCCUUCUUAAACACAUACCCGUAAGCACAGGAUUCUAUUGAAUGUGCAAAAGCAACAUGAUACCGGCCAAUGGCCACAAUUAUACAUCAUACCUGCUACAAGGUGCUGUAAACUGACCAUCAACUUUGAUUGGCAAGUAUUUCACAUAUUUAGUAAAGAUAAAAAUGUACAUUAUAUAUACCAGCUUCUUUUUAAAAUUGUUUUAUUUUGUGUGUUUGAGGUUUUGCCCACGUCUUUGUAUACCUCAUGUGCCUAGUGCUCCUAGAUGCUAGAAGAGGGUACCGGAUUUUCUGCGGCUGAAGUUACAGUUGUUUGUUAACCGCUGUGUGCAGGCUGGGAAUUGAACCCAGGUCUUCUUCAAGAGCAGUGUGGUGGUUUGAAUAAGAAUGGUCCCCAUAGGAUCAUAUAUUUGAAUGUUUGGUCAUCAGGGAGUAGCACUAUCUGAGGAUUAGAAGGAAGGUGGCCUUGUUGGAGGAAGAGUAUCACUGGGGUACCUCUUUGAGGUUUCAAGAGCCCAAGCCCAAGAGUCUCCCUCUUCCUCCUGUCUAUGGAUCCAGAUGUAUGACUGUCAGCCACUUCUCUAGCACCAUGUCUCCCUCUUCCAUGCUUCCCACCAUGAACACAAUGGCCUCUGAAACCGUAAGCCAGCCCCAAUUAAUGCUUUCUGUCAUAAGAGUUGCAGUGGUCAUGAUGUCUCUUCACAGCUACUGAACCUGGACUAAGACCAAUAGCAAGUGCUCCUAACUGCUAAGCCAUCUCUCUAGGCCUGUACCCCAGCUUCUUAAACUAUUCGACAUGGGAGCUACAGAAAGUUGGCAAUUGUAAAAGGUUUCUGGAUAUGCAGCCCCCAAACGCUGACUCAGAGUCGAGUGCUAAGGGGCUGAGAAACUUCUGGCAGCUCUCCGCCACGGUGUGUCACAUGACAUCACUGCGGCCCUUGAGCUGGACAGACAGCAUGCAGCUCACACUGCACAUGCUGUUCACCACACGCCGGUGAGCAUGGCCUCCGUCUCAGAUCCCAGACACGGCUGGGACGGCAGAGCUCUUACAGUCCUACACACACAGCUUUGUUUUUUUUGUUUUUUUUUUUUUUUUGUUUCUUUUUUUUUUUUUUUCGGAGCUGGGGACCACAGCUUUGUUUUUAUAGAGACAAAAUGCUUGGGCUACAGAAAACAAAGACUUUUAAUAUUUUUCUACUGCCAUUGUCUAGCAUCUCUUUUGUUAUUUGUCACAGUUUAACUUAAAAUUGCUGUUAAAUUGCUGACUUGAGUUUAAUUUUAAAAAAAUUAAAUGAAUUUUGGCUUGGGAUCAGUAUAACAUUUAGUUUUUGUUGUUUCUUUUUGUUUGUUUGGUUUGAUGGUUUGUGGGUUUUGUUUUGUUUUGUUUUUUGUUGUUGUUGUUUUUUUUUUUUUUUUUUGAGACAGAUCUCUCUAUGUAGCCCUGGCUGUCCUAGAGCUCACUAUGUAGAUCAGGCUAACCUCAAACUCACAGAGAUCUACCAUCCUUUGCCUGUGUUGGAAUUAAACGUGUGCAUACCCCCACCUAGUAUAGAAUCUAUAACAAUUUAUAAAACAGCCUUAAACAUAUUUCAGACAUUUUGUACCUCAUGUUUAUGUGAAGUGUUCUCAGCAUUGACAAUUAAUAAAUUAAAACAUGGAUCAACUCUGAAAAAUAAAAAUGUUCUCUAUUCUGCCCUGUAGAAUCAGACAUUCAGCCCAGACGACAUGCUUUAGGAAACACAGAGGAUCACAUACAUCUUGUUAGUAUGCAAGCUGGCUUAUAUCUGUAAUAAACAAUAAAACUGUUUACCAAAAGGCAAUUUAGAAUUAAGUGUCUUCAUGAUUUACUAGCAGUAAACACUCAUAUCUAUUUUAUGUACUUAUAUACAUAAAAACUCCUCGGGUAGAAAGGAGUUGUGGGCAGAUAGUUUAAGGGCAUGUAUCAUAUAUGUCCCAGAGUCAGCUGGAGGGCACAAGCCUGGAUGCUUGGCAGUAAUACACGUCUAACGUGGCGUACAAGAAAACGCGCAUCAGUGCUCUUUGCCUGCCUUCACAUUCUCUCUGGACAAAUGGUAUGAAAAGCUUCCCAGCCUCUUUGAGAUUAGGCACCGCUGUGUCACCUGCAUGGCCAGUGAGUCAUGUAUGACAUGGCUGGAAGGAAGCCUUUGAAACCAAUGUGUUGGCUCUGAGGUGAAGAGCACUGGCUGCUCUUCCAGAGGGUUUGAUUUCCAGUACCCAAACGGUGGCCCACAAACAUCUGCAACUAGUUCUGGGGAGUCUGACUCCCUCUUCGGGAUCCCUGGGCACCAGGUAUGCAGUGCACAGAUAAAUGCACAGGCAAAAUACCCAUACACAUAAAAAUCAGAAUAAAAAAUAAAACCCAUGUGCUAUUUAUCACAUUCUCUUGACCUUUGGGUGCCCAGCUACACUCAUGGGUUCAGGGAGGGAACCGGGUGCUGAGUGAGGACAGGCUCUAGAGCCUCUCCGGAGGCCUUGAGAUGGACCUGAGCUUGAACAAUAAAGAAGGCCUGCUUGAGGGUUGGGGAUUUAGCUCAGUGGUAGAGCGCUUGCCUAGGAAGCGCAAGGCCCUGGGUUCGGUCCCCAGCUCCGGAAAAAAAAGAAAAAAAAAUAUGAAAAAAAAAAAAAAAAAGAAGGCCUGCUUGAGAACACUAGGACUGCAUAACCCAGUCUACUCUGACAGAUGAAAGCAGUAAGCUUGCUCCACAAGCAAUUCUAGACAUGGAGCAUUUGGUCGGUCAGUGCUUUGUACACUACUGUCCUUGCUGUUAUAACAAAUUAUCAAAAACUUAAUGGCUUUGGGCUGAAGAGAUAACCCAACGGUUAAGGCACUGACUACUCUUCCAGAGGACCGGGGUUCAAAUCCCAGCACCCACAUGGUAGCUCACGAUCGUCUAUAACGCCAAGAUCUGACAUGCUCACAUAGACAUAUUUGCAGGCAAAACACAAAUGCACAUAAAACAAACAUAAAUAAAUUAAAAUAAAAAGAACAUGGCUUUAUCCCCUUACAGCCCAGAAUUCACGGGGUGGAAGUCUGCUGUGGACUGACAUGACCUGCGCGUUCUGGAGUUCUGGGGGGAGAAGCUCUUCCUUUUGAGAUCACGUCUAGAAAUGUCCAGUGCUGUGCAUUCCUGGCUGCGGGGGCGUCUGUCACCCUCUCUCCCAUUCCACUGUCACCACCUUUCUUCACUCUUACCCUGCGACCACCUCCUGUCAGGACAGGAGCCUGCCCUGCUGAUCCAGGGCUAUUUCCUCAACCACACACCCUGAACUCAGACGAUGAUAACACAGGUUCUAGGGUCAUGUGGUGUGUUGUCAGCUGGGGACACGGUAAAGAUGCCAUCUUUAAAGCAUGGUGUUUGCAAGAAGAGCAAGGUGUGGGGGAUGCUCCCAUCAAAGCACACUGUUCUCCUGAGAUUCCACAGCACUGCAGAAGCAAACACUCUGAAAUGUGCCAUUUCUUCAUGAUGGGAGGAAUUACCAAGGGAUCUGUAUCAUGCUGAAGGAACAGUGGAUUCAAGGGGUCUGCACGACUUCUAGCUGGCUGCAGACUGGAGGAAAACUAUCCUUUUUUCUUCUAUUAGAGGUUUUUUUUUUUUAAAGAUUGAUUUAUUUAUUUUAUGUAUACCAGUACACUGUCGCUGUCUUCAGACACACCAGAAGAGGGCAUUGGAUCCCAUUACAGGUGGUUGUGAGCCACCAUGUGGUUGCUGGGAAUUGAACUCAGGACCUCUGGAAGAGCAGUCAGAGCUCUUAACCGCUGAGCCAUCUCUCCAGCCCUCUUCUAUUAGGUUUCAUAUGUCAAAGAUUUAUUUCCCAGGGUCGAGUUGUUUCUUUGAUCCAGUACAUCUGAGAGAUAAAAGCUUAGCUGACCUUCGCUCAGGCCUGACCAUCAGAGUGUCCCUACCUCCCUGGAAUCCGACCAUCAGAGCACCCCUACAUCACGGCCAGAGAUGGCCUUUCCCACAAGAGAACUACCUGCUUCUACCACAAGAGGGAGCUUCAGUCCACAGUCACCCUGAGCUUUCAAGAGCUUCUUGCUAUGAAACAUUCAGCUUAAUACAAUAUUAAGUCACACUUUGGAGUUGAGACUUAGUAUUUUGCUUUCCUUAGCACAGGUACACUACACUUGGGGCUUUUUUUUUUGGUAGAAAAAGUAGUAGAUCUGGUAUUUUCCUGUUUGAUUCUCUUACUGUCUGAUUUUAGGGAGCUGGGGAAUCCAUCUAACCAAGGCUUCAAGUGUACGAAGCACAAGCGCAAAAACAAGACAGUGAACAUGCUGCCUGCCACCAUGGGACACGAUAGUUCCAGUGCAGCGUUCAGAGUAGCAAGACGAGACAGAUUUAAAAGCCAGAUGUCAAUAGUUUCAAUCAGAUUUUGAUGUUCCUGAGCUUUAAUUUCUUCCCUUUUAGAAGCGAACGUUAUGGGCCAGUUCGAUGGCUCAGCAGGUAACUGCUCACCCUGUGUAAUGACUGCUUGUGUUUAAUCCCUGGAACCUCAAAAGGCUCAGUGUGGUGGUGAGAGCCUUAAUCCCAGCAUUCCUAUAGUGAGGAGGGAAGCUGAGAAAGGGCAUUCUCUCAGAAGCUUGCUCUAGCCUGGAGUACAUAGUGCAGUAGUAGAACAUGAGAGGGCCAGUCUCAGCAAGGCAGAUAGGGUGGGGGAGGGAGAGACAGAGAGAGAGACAAACACACACACACACACACACACACACACAGACAGAGAGAGAGACAGAGAGAGACAGACAGAGUGAGCUGACACUGACCUCAUUGGCCAUUACCUGGAUGCAGCGAGAGAGGAAGUGGAGAAUGCAGAAUAAUGUGAAGCAGGUCUAUCUUAGUCAGGGUUCUACUGCUAUGAAAAGACCCCAUGGCCACAGCAAUCUUUUUUUUUUUUUUUUUUUCGGAGCUGGGGACCGAACCCAGGGCCUUGCGAUUGCUAGGCAAGCGCUCUACCACUGAGCUAAAUCCCCAACCCCUGGCCACAGCAAUCUUAUAAGCUAGCCUACAGGUUCAGAAUUUCAGUCCACUGUCAUCAUGGCAGGAUGCAGGCAGACAUGGUACUUCGAGUUCUAUAUCAGGAUCAGCAGGACGACAGAGACAUUGGGCCUGGCUUGAGCAUUUGAAACCUCAAAACUCACCCUCAGUGACACACUUCCUCCAACAAGGCUAUGUCCACUCCAAGGACUGUACUAGUCCUUUCAAAUAGUGUCACUCCCUAUGAGCCUGUGGGGCCAUUUUCAUUCAGACCAUCAUAGGGUUCAUAGGUGCAAGCAUGAACGGUAGCCAUCAGUAUUAGCAACUAUAUUAAGAAUAAAGGGGUUCUGAAUGGCAAUGUGGUCCUUUAAGGAGCUCAUUCACCCAAAAUCAAACAAAGGUGUGGGAGUUCAAAGUUUCUGUACUGCCUCAAGCCCACCUCUCUCUAGUAAUGACCUGCUGGCUCUGAGUAUCUCAUCCAGCGCUGCUGGGUCUUCAGAGUCGUGUUACUGCCGGACUGAAGUAUUCGGAUGUUGGGUUUUGUGCUAUUGAUGGUAUAUGGCUCUCUCUGUUGGUUCUGCUGCAGUAGAGGCUUGUGACAACCCACACAGUAUAUUUCUGUGGGAUCCAUGUCUUUCCUCCUGCAGUGAGUACUUCCAGUUAAGGUUUCUAGACUGAGGAUUCAUCUGCCCAUUGUCAAGAGGAAACGACAUGGUACAGUCUAGGAAAGUGUCUGAACAGAGAGCAAUCAUUGCCGUGUCACAACCACCCUGUUUUAGAAAAAAAAUAAAAAGCAACUGCAGUAGCCAAAGGACAUAGCUAGUUAGGAGGCGGGUGCUUGGUACCCACACACAUAUGAUCUGCCUGCGCCCACACUGUACAGGUGAGAGUACAGAGCUCCAUGCCUUUACAUGUGUCUGAAAAGCCAGGCCGGUUGUCUACCCUGGAGAGCCAGAUAUGGGUGCUGUGAGUGGAUGCUUGCAACAGAGUCUGAGAAGGCGUGACUGGGGAGCCCUCCUCCAUUUACCUCCUACUCGGCCCUGUAGAGUUAGAGCUGUCAGAUAGAUGUGAAUGGGGCAGAACAUUCUAGGUAAGUGGGCCUCAAACUUCCUUCAAAGAAACAAAAUCAAACUCCAUGGCUUCUUUUUAAAUGUCUGGACAAGGGCUGGAGACAUUGCUCAUUGGUUAAGAGCACCAGCUGCUCUUCUGGAGGAUCCAGGUUCAACUCCCACACCCACAUGGCAGCUCACAGCUGUCUGUAACAACCGUUCCAGGGAUCCAACACUCUCCCCACAGACAUGCAUGCAUGCAAAACACUAACACACAUAAAAAGAAAUCAUUAAGAAAUUAAAAAGUCUGGACAAAAGUGAUGCUUAGUAUGAAAACUUUCAGCCAUGGAGAGACUGGGACAAUGUAUGAGGAUGUUGUCUGGGAGGAUGAACUAGUUCACAUAGUGACAGGGGGCAUCAACACAACUCAUGGAGCAGCAUUACUAAGGCUUUUGCAUUUUAUUGUGUGUGAACUCCAGAGUGGCCUGGGGUGGCAGAGCAGAGCCUGAAGCUAACACCUUUUCAUCAACAGUGUCAGAGCCCCAGAGCCUGGGAGCUGGGGAAGAUGUGCUUGGAGGAAAAUGUCUUCCCCUGCCCCCAGUGACAGGCACAGGCAAGCAACCCCCUGGAGGCUGGCCAGUCAUUCUUCACCUUAGCUGGAAGGACAGACACACAAUGAACUUGGAUGAAGCUCUGGGGCUUCAGGGACAUUUUCACUUCUAAGAGUUCAGGGCAAACAAAGACAUGCUUUCUGAUCUGGUCAGCUUUCUCCAGCAACACCAGCAGAGGAGGGCUGACUGGAAGGAAGGAUAGAAACCUAGUUUUCAAUGUACAAUGAGGACUGACUACCACUAAAACAAAGAACCUUCAAAUCUAAAUGCCACGUGGGAGGCUGGAUUGCUCCGCCAUCUGGGGAGAUGUGUCAAGGGUGGGGACAGAGGCAAGCUGACCUGAGGUUUACAGUAUGGCAGGACAAGCUCCUGGAGCUUUUCUCAUUAACCUGCACAGCUUUGGUUUUACCACCUAACCAACCUCUUCAGGACAGGACGAAGCACAGAGCACAGAGCUGCCAGAUGCCUCUGGCACCUCCCAGCUUCAGGACAGGAUGAUGGCAGAGGAAGGAAGUCAAGCUGCUCUGUAGAUUUAAUGCACAUGAAGACGACCCUAAUGCAUAGUUUGGCCAACUGGAUAACCCAGGUGGCUGAAGGAAAAGUGGCCAUGACACCGAAGGGGGUUUUGGGAAAGGGUUUGAGUGUGUGAGAAAGUUUUCUACCAGAGGAAAGAUUUAUUUCCCAUUACAAAUGCAACAAGUAUUCAUUAAAGAUCGUUGAGAAAGGAUACUUAUAAACAUGGGGUUUUAUCUUUAAGCACAACCCAUUGGCAGCCUGCCUCCCAGCCAUGUGCUGACAGGUCUGUUAUUUCACAAGUGCUUCCUGACAAAAUGCCCACAACACCCGACUGAAGAGCUGAAGAGCCGCCAUGUGCUACUUCACGAACUCUGAUUUUCAGGCUGUUUCCAGUUUUCUCUUUUAUCUGAAGAGCAGUGCUCUGUACUUUACUGGCUUCUUUUGGUGACUACAUUUAGAGCAAUUGGAGAUGUUUGCUCCAAAGUGCAUCAGCAAGGCUAUGAUUCUGAAUGUAUGUGUAUGAGUGUGAAACCCUUGGCACACUCACCUGGAUGUGUGACACACACAUGCACACGCGCACACACACACAACACACUGGGCACUCACAGGCUCAGGUGGAGCCUUAGCGGAGCAGCAGAAACCCUUCCUAGGACUGUUGCCAGCAGCAGCCAAGCUUUCCCUGGCUAUCAAGUUUAUUUUUAUGCUGUGAACACAGUGAGCUGUGGAAGUCAGCACACUGGAACACUGGUGAUAGGAAGGGGGAGGACCAGCACCCACAGAUCACCAUUUCAUUCCUGUCUGCCAGCACAAGGAGAUCAGCUGUCUCAAGCUCCCACCAGAGCUAGACAAGCUCUCGACACCACGUCUUCUCCGCUGUGAUGGACACCACCACAAAUGGGGAGCCAAACGUUCCCUUCUUCAGGUUGCUCUGCUGAAGCAUUUUGUUGUAACAAGAAAAGAAACUAAUGAGGUAAGCACCAUGAGACACACGAGAGAAAUAAGCUGAAGACACCCACACAGGCAGGGCUGGACUGAAGGGCACUGGGGAUGCCUUCUGGAGAACUACACAGAACUUAGCACAAGAGCAGCCUUCCUUGUUCAGCAACAGGAGAGCUCUGCACUGAGCUAAGACUUUUGGCUGAGGUCCCGAAGACCAUGGAGGCCCACUGUAGGAUUUUAAAUGGGAUUUAAAUGAAACAAUCAGAUCUGUGGUUUACAAGGAAUGGUCAGGUAGUUGCACAAAGAAUAGAUUGGUAAAGGACUUUUUUAAAAAAGAGAAAGAAAGAAAAGAACUUAGGUAGGGGUGUGCGGAUCAGUAGCAGAAAACUUCUCCAGCCUUCCUGGGCCUUGAGGUCCACCCCUAGCACCACCAAAGGGAAAACAAAACCUAACCUGUAGAGAGCGGCGCGGCGAAACAAAGAUGGCGCCGACAUCCAGCCUUGUCUGGAUAUAAACGACUUACUGCGCAUGUGCAGGCUUGUCCCCUUUCUAGGGCUCCCUCUAGUGGUGAACAGCGGUACUGCACAUGUGCGGUUUAUGCACCAGGUGUUAGUUGACCGUUAAUAUGCUAAUGAGGUGAUUCAUUCUCCGCCAAUCCCUGGAGGACAAGUAGUGGGGUGAUCCAAGCCCCACCAAUCCCUGAGAGAUAAUUAGCAUACUGUUGUCUAUAUAAGCCAAGCGAUUUUGCUGCUCAGAGUCCCUGUUCAAGAGAGCUGUAACACUAAGAGAGCUGUAACACUAAGAAGAGCUGUAACACAGUAAAGGCUUGCUCGCAGAAGAAUCCUGUUGCCGCGCGUUGUUCUUACUGGCGGGACAUUAGGCGCGCGACAAGUGGUGCCGAAACCCGGUAACCAACAUCGCCGGUGCCGAGGGGACCCUUCAGUGUGAUGAAGAGGAUUCAGAACUGCGAGAAGGUAAAUUAAAAGAAUCAAGAAAAUCCAAUUUGGGUACCUGAGCAUUUGACUCGAAAAUUGCCUUCUGCUCUUCCUGAAGAUGAGACUACGAACCCUACUAUUACUACUGGGAAUGGUAAUAUGGGUUAACUCGCUCACCCUGUGGGCUAUUGCCAGAUCCUGGCCAGUACCCAUGCCAGUUCAUAGCAAUUCUAUUGUUUUGAGAAUAAGACUGGCAAGCAUAAUCUCUGGCCUUGGUUUCAGUGGGUGCUGUCCAAUGAGCAAGGGUUAUAUACAUCCCUGACCCCCUUUGCUAGGUUGAUGGGAGAGAACUUCGUGCUGUAUAAUGUUUCAGCUACCAGAAAAAAUGACACCAGGUUGAUCAAUAUUCAAUAUAAUAACCUCUUGGUAAAUAAUACUGCCACUAGUACUUCAGUAUGUGCUAGAUCACUUUUUUUCUGAUAAGCACUAAUGUAAGCAGUGGUGCUUUAAAUUGUAAUAGCUCUGAUGUAGUCUGCUAUUUAGCUGAAUGCUGGGAUGGCACCAAUGACACCGCAGUGAUGGUUAAGAUUCCCUCCUUUGUGCCAAUCCCAGUGGAGGCAAACCCAGAUAGCUUUCCUAUUCUUAAUUUACUGAGAGCCAAAAGAGAUUUUGGAAUUAUGACAGCCAUAAUUUCAGCCAUUGUGCUGUCUGCUGCCGCAGCUACCACAGCUGCAAUCGCUAUGACCAAUCAAAUACAGACGGCUGAGACUGUCAAUCAGAACUGCAGUGGCGCUAGAGAUACAAGAAGAAUUUAAUACCCAUUUAGCAUCUGGCCUUCUAUUAGCCAAUCAAAGGAUAGAUUUAGUUCAAGAACAAUUGAAGCACUGUAUCAUAUGACACAGCUGUCUUGUGUUUCCUCCCUUCGAAGUUUAUGCAUUAUUCUUUUGCGAGCUAACUUUUCUCAGAAUUUUCAACAGAACAAAGAAAUCUCGAAUUAUCUGAAAGGAAACUGGUCCAUGAAAGCAGAGCAACUAUCAAGACAAUUGCUGAUGCAGAUUGCUGUCCUCAACAGCACUAGGCUGGACCCCAUCACAGUUGAAGACUUUACCUCAUGGAUUACCAAUGCUUUCUCCCUUGUUAAGGAGUGGGUGGGCAUGUUUGUCCUGGGGAGCUAUUGUCCUCCUGGGAUGCGGAGUAGGUCUCUGGCUUAUUGGCUGUUUAAAAAAGAGAACAUGCCAGACACAAAGUGGUUGUUUACCAGGCUAUGACCACCAUUAAAAAGGGUACUUCUCCCAACAUAUGGCUGGCCUCUUUGAAAGAUCAAGAGUUCGCCCUAGAUCAUUUUUGUCACAGUCAUGUGGAGUCAUUGUAUCCAGGGACGGGCAACUUUCCUCGAACUCGGACCAACCUAAGACACGGGGCCUGGUGGCGAUAGGGUAACUCUAUGACGGAUAAGGCCGAGUUUGGAUGAGAACGACCUAAGACAGGAGCAAUGACAAGAUUGACGUGACACCCAGAUCUAGACCAGUCAUUUUAUUAAACGAAAAAGGGGGAGAUGUAGAGAGCGGUGCGGCGAAACAAAGAUGGCGCCGACAUCCAGCCUUGUCUGGAUAUAAACGACUUACUGCGCAUGUGCAGGCUUGUCCCCUUGCUAGGGCUCCCUCUAGUGGUGAACAGCGGUACUGCACAUGUGCGGUUUAUGCACCAGGUGUGAGUUGACCGUUAAUAUGCUAAUGAGGUGAUUCAUUCUUCGCCAAUCCCUGGAGGACAAGUAGUGGGGUGAUCCAAGCCCCACCAAUCCCUGAGAGAUAAUUAGCAUACUGUGGUCUAUAUAAGCCGAGCGAUUUUGCUGCUCGGGGUCCCUGUUCAAGAGAGCUGUAACACUAAGAGAGCUGUAACACUAAGAAGAGCUGUAACACAGUAAAGGCUUGCUCGCAGAAGAA